UCCGUAGGCGGUGUGGCAAGUCGGAAGUGAAAUCUCUGGGCUUAACCCAGAGGCUGCUUCCGAAACUGCCGUGCUAGAGUGUGAGAGAGGCGAGUGGAAUUGCGGGUGUAGCGGUGAAAUGCGUAGAUAUCCGCAGGAACAUCCGAGGCGAAAGCGGGCUCGCUGGAUCACAACUGACGCUGAGGGACGAAAGCUAGGGGAGCAAACAGGAUUAGAUACCCUGGUAGUCCUAGCCCUAAACCAUCAGGACUUGGGGUUUGCCCUGUACGGGGCAAGUCCCGUAGCUAACGCGUUAAGUCCUGCGCCUGGGGAGUACGGUCGCAAGGCUGAA
rnacentral:rRNA from 1 species